AUUGAACGCUGACGGCAUGCUUUACACAUGCAAGUCGAACGGUAACAGGCCGCAAGGUGCUGACGAGUGGCGAACGGGUGAGUAAUGCAUCGGAACGUGCCCAGUCGUGGGGGAUAACUACUCGAAAGAGUAGCUAAUACCGCAUACGAUCUAUGGAUGAAAGCGGGGGACCGUAAGGCCUCGCGCGAUUGGAGCGGCCGAUGUCAGAUUAGGUAGUUGGUGGGGUAAAGGCUCACCAAGCCAACGAUCUGUAGCUGGUCUGAGAGGACAACCAGCCACACUGGGACUGAGACACGGCCCAGACUCCUACGGGAGGCAGCAGUGGGGAAUUUUGGACAAUGGGCGCAAGCCUGAUCCAGCAAUGCCGCGUGCAGGAAGAAGGCCUUCGGGUUGUAAACUGCUUUUGUACGGAACGAAACGGCUCUGGUUAAUACCCGGGGCUAAUGACGGUACCGGAAGAAUAAGCACCGGCUAACUACGUG
rnacentral:rRNA from 1 species